CGCUAUUUUAGGCUAUAAAUUCAGCCAGAUAUGGUUUGGUACAGUUUUGGUAAAGAAAACAUCGUGUAUGCGGGUAAUAACCAAACAAGGCACAAUAAUGGUAAUAAGGUUUGCUAUAUGACAUAUUUAGGUAAAAAUCCCUAAUUGACGAGGAAACAUUAGGGCCUUGUAUUGACCGAACUUAUGGCCCUGUUCUUUCUUCCAAUCAAAUUCCUUUGGGUAACAUUAGGGCCUUGUAUUGACCGAAUUUAUGGCCCUGUUCUUUCUUCCAAUCAAAUUCCUUUGGGUUUCUAAAUAGAACAAUAUUCUCAUAAAUUAAUUAAAGUAUGUAAUAGCCUUAACAAGAUUAUAAUUACUUGCAACUUAAUAAAUAAUUAUGAGAUGCUACAAUUGAAAUUUCUGCCCUAAAACAUUCUUGGAUGAUCAGUUUAGGAUUAAAGACCUAGGAUCUUUACAUUACUUUCUGGGAAUUGAGGUGUCUGUUGUUCCUGGUGGAGUACUUCUUAAUCAAAAGAAAUUUGUAUCUGACUUGUUGCAACAAUUUUAUUGUGCUGCUGUUUCUCCUGUAGUUUGUCCAUUAGACCUUAAUACCAAACUAUAUGCUGAUUCUGGUGAUUUGUUGUUUCUCUUGUAGUUUGUCCAUUAGACCUUAAUACCAAACUAUAUGCUAAUUCUUGGGAUUUGUUCUCUUCUCCUGACAAGUAUAGAAGCCUGAUUGGCAAGCUCCUAUUUUUGACACAUACCACACCUGAUAUUUGCUUUGCUGCAUAGUAUUUGAGUCGGUUCUUGAAGUCUCCUAAAAUUCCUUAUAUGUAUGUUGCCUUGCAUGUUCUUAGGUACCUCAAGGGAACUGUAGAUUUGGGGCUUUUCUAUUCUGACUCUCCUGACUUUUCUAUACAUGCUUUUUCAGAAAGUGAUUGGGCAGCUUGUCCUGAUACUCGCAGGUCUGUUACUGGUUUCUAUGUGAUUUUAGGGGGUAGCUUGGUAAGUUGGAAGUCCAAAAAACAACCAGUGGUGUCCUUAUCUUCUGUUGAAGCAGAGUACAUGGCUCUUAGUAAGGUGGUUGCUGAAUUAUCUUGGUUUUCUAGACUGCUCAUUGACCUUGGUGUUUCUGUGUCACUUCCUUUUUCUGUAUUUUGUGAUAACCAGGCUGCUCUACAUAUAGCCAGGAAUCCACUUUUUC
rnacentral:lncRNA from 1 species